rnacentral:sRNA from 1 species
GCUGGGCAUGGUGGCGCCUGCCUGUAAUCCCAGUGGCUCUGGAGGCUAAGGCAGGAGGAUCGCGAAUUUAAAGCCAGCCUCAGCAAAAAGCAAGGUGCUAUGAAGCUCAGUGAGACCCUGUCUCUA